AGGGACAUAGCUCAGUGGUAGAGCACGUACUUAACAUGCAUGAGGUCCUGGGGUCAAUCCCCAGUACCUCCA
rfam:Camelus ferus unplaced genomic scaffold scaffold632, whole genome shotgun sequence.